rnacentral:rRNA from 1 species
AUUGAACGCUGGCGGCAGGCCUAACACAUGCAAGUCGAGCGGCAGCGGGAAAGUAGCUUGCUACUUUUGCCGGCGAGCGGCGGACGGGUGAGUAAUGCCUGGGAAAUUGCCCGGUCGAGGGGGAUAACAGUUGGAAACGACUGCUAAUACCGCAUAUGCCCUACGGGGGAAAGCAGGGGACCUUCGGGCCUUGCGCGAUUGGAUAUGCCCAGGUGGGAUUAGCUAGUUGGUGAGGUAAUGGCUCACCAAGGCGACGAUCCCUAGCUGGUCUGUGAGUAUGAUCAGCCACACUGGAACUGAGACACGGUCCAGACUCCUACGGGAGGCAGCAGUGGGGAAUAUUGCACAAUGGGGGAAACGCUGAUGCAGCCAUGCCGCGUGCGUGAAGAAGGCCUUCGGGUUGUAAAGCACUCUCAGCGAGGAGGAAAGGUUGAUGCCUAAUACGUAUCAACUGUGACGUUACUCGCAGAAGAAGCACCGGCUAACUCCGUGCCAGCCGCCGCCGUAAAAC